CAAAGACAAGUCCAGGCCUGUUGGUGGUUCACUGCUCUCGAAGACACAUACACACGAGCGUUUCAAGGGGCAGAGCCGCCGGUCUCUACUGUUUUGGGAUUCCCCGCAGAAAGCGGUCUGUCUCCGAAUCACGAGAAUUAUAUCCCUGUAGAGUCUCCGAUUUAUUAUACGGUUUCAGAAGCUAGUCCUUUACAGAGUGAAGAAGUUUCUCAAAGGGCAUCCUCCGGGUUGACCAAUUGCAGCCCCAGUCCCCCGGGUAUUUUAACGCAAGUGCUGGACGGAUCAGAAAAUAUAAACUUGUAUCGUAACUGGCGGAAUCUACAAACACCUCCACCCUCUGAGAGAGGCGUUCAGUAUUUUCCGGCGCCCUAUGGGAGCGGCACCCUCUUUUUCUAACAGGCGGACCCCUUUGUUGGCGCCGCUUCACUCUGAACACGGAUAUCGGCUUAAAACCGCUAUUCCCUUCAUCCUGACUACCAGCAGAGACAUCGACAAAGACUGGAACAACUGACCGCACAACUUCACCAAUUAUUGGCAGACUUUGUAGAAUUGGAGGCUCCUGUGUACAACUCUACACCCGAAAUGUGUUUAGACUUGAUGCAUAUGAAUGCCUUUUACAUCCAUCUAACCCGUAAAUAAAGGAGCCGUUUAAUAUUUAUGAAAAUAAUA